rnacentral:lncRNA from 1 species
CUGAGCUGGGCCUGGCACCCAGGAGCUCAGUGCUCUUGCAGGAGGUAGUCAUGGUGGACUCUGGUGGGGGACUAGGAGUCCCAGGAGAGUAGAGUUUAACAAGCCCUUACAGAGCAUUUGCUGUGUGGGCCCUGAGGAUGUGAACAGCCACGAGUAAGCUAAGUUCAGCCUGGAGAAAGUUUAGAGCUUCACACAACGUGCUUUGGGAACUCAGGGAAAGCGUUCAGUUCUCAGAAGGAGCCUUGCGGAUGGCCAAGGUGGGCCUCUGAGGGUAGGUCAGGCUUGACAGAAUAAGCAAGAGAGUGCCGUGGGCACAGGGAACAGCAAGAGCAGAGCUGGCAACCAGGCAGGAAGGGCAAGCAAGGGAGGGUGUGCGUUCACACCACAUCUGCACAAGGGGAAGGGGGGCACGCAGUGCAUCUCAUUGCCCGCAUCCAGGUUAGGUGAACUCAGCCUUCUGCUUGGCGAAAGCGUGAGAAAGACGGAGAACAAACGUUCAGCAGUGAUGGCAGCACCAUCGACAGACGGCAGGUUUUGCCUGGAAAGCAGUGAAGGAGCUGAAUCUCCAAUCUGGGUUAUAAGAUCAUCAUCAUCACCUUCAGCUGCCCAUCUGACUGUGGCUAUUACAGGAAAGUAAUCGAUUGUAAGGAUGGAAGUUGGUUGGAAUGAUGUGAGGAAGGGGCCAAGGAAUGCAGGCAACUUCUAAAAGCUGAAAAAGACAAGAAAAACAAUCUCCCUGCAGAGCCUCUGGAAGCAACCAAUCCAAAUGACACCUUGACUUUACUCCAGUGACUGAUUUUAGAUUUCUGGUUUACAGAAC